rnacentral:tRNA from 1 species
GAGGGUAUGGCUCAAGUGGUAGAGUGCAUGCUUAGCAUGCACAAGGUCCUGGGUUCAAGCCCCAGUACCUCCU